rnacentral:tRNA from 1 species
CGUGGCCAAGUUGGAUAAGGUGCCUGACUACGAAUCAGGAGAUCGUGGGUUCAAGUCCCGCCG